rnacentral:lncRNA from 1 species
AGCCUGUCACCCAGCAGCAUUCCCAGCAUGGGCUGGAAGGGAUGGCUCAGGUGCUGACCCAGCACGAGGAGCCCAAGGACCUCCUGCGCCUGGUGUGUUUGCAAUGGAGCCCAAGGCAACCUGGACAUGGGGAAUUCCUUCACAGCUCCUGCUUUUCCCACACAGGGGAACAGACUUUCUCAUAGGAGCCAGGCUGUGGAACCAGCACUGAAGGCACAGGAGGAAGGAAAUGCUGGAGAUGCCCCAUCACAGGUUCUGCACAGACCCAACGCUUCUCUCACGCUGAAUCCCAAACCAUCCCAUGGAUGAGUUAACUCAUGUGAGGGCAGAGGGGCUGGAAGGUUGGAAAAGGCCC